CCUACUGGGGGCAGCAGUGAGGACUAUUGGUCAAUGGGCGCGAGCCUGAACCAGCCAAGUAGCGUGAAGGAUGACUGCCCUACGGGUUGUAAACUUCUUUUAUAAAGGAAUAAAGUGAGGCACGUGUGCCUUUUUGUAUGUACUUUAUGAAUAAGGAUCGGCUAACUCCGUGCCAGCAGCCGCGGUAAUACGGAGGAUCCGAGCGUUAUCCGGAUUUAUUGGGUUUAAAGGGAGCGUAGAUGGGUUGUUAAGUCAGUUGUGAAAGUUUGCGGCUCAACCGUAAAAUUGCAAUUGAUACUGGCAGUUUUGAGUACAGUUGAGGUAGGUGGAAUUCGUGGUGUAGCGGUGAAAUGCUUAGAUAUCACGAAGAACUCCGAUUGCGAAGGCAGCUUACUAAACUGCCACUGACAUUGAUGCUCGAAAGUGUGGGUAUCAAACAGGAUUAGAUACCCUGGUAGUC
rnacentral:rRNA from 1 species